rnacentral:lncRNA from 1 species
CCCCGCCCCCUCAGUUCCACCCCUUGGCCUGCCGGGUCCUCUCAGGCACCCAGCGGAGUUUCGAGUCAGACUUGAGCUCGGGCGUAGCGGCUAGACCGGGCUGUGGCGAUAGAGUCCAAAGGAAGGCAGGAUGACUUCAAAGAUCUGCUAGUGCACCUGGAUUCUGGUUUUCUUACUAUUCAGCUUCAUGACCUUGAACAAACUUUACUCAGCUUGGCUGUGCCUCAGUUUAGUCAUCUGGAAAGGAAGGGGAUAGGACUAUAACUAAAUAUAAUUCUAGAUCAUUUUAAGUAUCAUCUGUGCACUCACGCAAUAUGUGCAUGGAACGUGGAGGCGAGAGUACAAAAGGCAUGGUGCUUGCCUAUCGACAUGAGGCCCCUACAACCCAGGGAAGGCCCGGUGGUCCAGGAUCCAGUGCUGCUCCCCAUGUGCCCAUCUCACAUGCUGCUCGGCACCAGCAGCCAUCACCACUCCACUUCUCUCAAGAGAUGGAGGAAGGAGGUCCCAAGCCAAGGAAUGCAGCAUGGGCCUCUAGAAGCUGGAAUGACCCUCACCUCACGGCCAGCAAGAAAUCAGGGAACUCAGUCUUACCCGAGUGAGCAGGAAAUCGAUUCUCCUCUGCAGCCUCUAUAGAGAACACAGCCUGUCAACACCCUGAUUUUGGCCCAAUGAGCCCUGUACCUCCAGAAGUGUAACGUAAUAAAUUUGUGUUGUUUUAAGCUA